AGGUAAUUAGUUUAAAUAAAACAUUUGAUUUCGGCUCAAAAACUUAUGGUUAAAACCCAUAAUUAACCU
rnacentral:tRNA from 1 species